rnacentral:rRNA from 1 species
UACGUAGGCGGUUUAUUAAGUCAGAUGUGAAAGCCCCGGGCUUAACCUGGGAACUGCAUUUGAUACUGGUAAACUAGAGUAUGGUAGAGGGGGGUAGAAUUCCUAGUGUAGCGGUGAAAUGCGUAGAUAUUAGGAGGAAUACCAGUGGCGAAGGCGGCCCCCUGGACCAAUACUGGCGCUGAGGUACGAAAGCGUGGGUAGCGAACA